rnacentral:rRNA from 1 species
GAUGAACGCUAGCUACAGGCUUAACACAUGCAAGUCGAGGGGUAACGAGAGGAAAGCUUGCUUUCCUUGUCGACGACCGGCGCAUGGGAGAGUAACGCGUACCCAACCUGCCCCCAACUAGGGAAUAACCUUGCGAAAGUAAGACUAAUACCCUAUAAUUUCCUCAGAUGCCAUCUGACGAGGAAUAAAGAUUUAUCGGUUGUGGAUGGGGAUGCGUCUGAUUGGCUUGUUGGCGGGGUAACGGCCCACCAAGGCAACGAUCAGUAGGGGUUCUGAGAGGAAGGUCCCCCACAUUGGAACUGAGACACGGUCCAAACUCCUACGGGAGGCAGCAGUGAGGAAUAUUGGUCAAUGGGCGGAAGCUUGAACCAGCCAAGUAGCGUGCAGGAUGACGGCCCUAUGGGUUGUAAACUGCUUUUAUACAGGAAUAAAGUUAGCCACGUGUGGUUAUUUGUAGGUACUGUAUGAAUAAGGACCGGCUAAUUCCGUGCCAGCCGCCGCUGUAA